UAGAGUUUGAUCAUGGCUCAGGACGAACGCUGGCGGCGUGCCUAACACAUGCAAGUGGAGCGACGAACCAGGCUUCGGCCUGGGGCAAAGCCGCGAACGGGUGAGUAACACGUGGGUAACCUGCCCCGAUGAUUGGGACAACCCGAGGAAACUCGGGCUAAUACCGAAUGUGCCCUCCGGCCUCAAGGCCGCUGGGGAAAGGAAGCUUCGGCCUCCGCAUCGGGAUGGGCCCGCGGCCCAUUAGCUUGUUGGUGAGGUAACGGCUCACCAAGGCAACGAUGGGUAGCUGGUCUGAGAGGACGAUCAGCCACACUGGGACUGAGACACGGCCCAGACUCCUACGGGAGGCAGCAGUGGGGAAUAUUGCACAAUGCGCGAAAGCGUGACGCAGCAACGCCGCGUGCGGGAAGACGGCCUUCGGGUUGUAAACCGCUUUCAGUUGGGACGAAGGUUCACGGGUUAAUAGCCCGUUGGACUGACGGUACCUUCACAAGAAGCCCCGGCUAACUACGUGCCAGCAGCCGCGGUA
rnacentral:rRNA from 1 species